rnacentral:tRNA from 1 species
GUGCCCGAGUGGCGGAAUCGGCGGACGCACGGGAUUUAAAAUCCUGGGGGACCUGAUAAUCCCGUGCCGGUUCAAGUCCGUCCUGAGCAUU